UGUUUGUGUGUGUGUGUGUCGCUUUGGAUAAAAGCGUCUGCUAAAUGACUAAAU
rfam:Danio rerio chromosome 21, GRCz11 reference primary assembly.